UGUUGCAUGGCUGUCGUCAGCUCGUGUCGUGAGAUGUUCGGUUAAGUCCGCUAACGAGCGCAACCCGCGUUGUGUGUUAUAUGUGUCACACAAUACCGCCGGUACUAAGCCGGAGGAAGGUGCGGAUGACGUCAAGUCAGCAUGACCUUUAUAUCCAGGGCUACACACACGCUACAAUGGACAGUACAACAGGUUGCCAAGCCGCGAGGCGGAGCCAAUCCUCUAAAGCUGUCCUCAGUUCAGAUUGCAGACUGCAACUCGCCUGCAUGAAGUUGGAGUUGCUAGUAACCGCAGGUCAGCUAUACUGGGGUGAAUACGUUCCCGGGGAUU
rnacentral:rRNA from 1 species